UACGUAGGGGGCAAGCGUUGUCCGGAUUUAUUGGGCGUAAAGCGCGUGUAGGCGGGCCGGCACGUCGGUCGCUGAAAGCCCCCGGCUCAACCGGGGAAGCGGCGCCGAUACGACCGGCCUGGAGGGGGGUAGGGGGCGCCGGAACGGCCGGUGGAGCGGUGAAAUGCGUUGAGAUCGGCCGGAACGCCCGUGGCGAAAGCGGGCGCCUAGACCCCGCCUGACGCUGAGACGCGAAAGCCAGGGGAGCGAGCGGG
rnacentral:rRNA from 1 species